rnacentral:rRNA from 1 species
GCCUAACACAUGCAAGUCGAACGAAUAAGGGCCUAGCUUGCUAGGAAUUCUGUUAGUGGCAGACGGGUGCGUAACACGUGGGAACUUACCUUGCAGUAUGGGAUAACAACGGGAAACUGUUGCUAAUACCAUAUACUCUCCGAGGAGAAAAGAUUUAUCGCUGUAAGAUAGGCCCGCGCUAGACUAGGUAGUUGGUGGGGUAAUGGCCUACCAAGCCUACGAUCUAUAGCUGGUCUGAGAGGACGACCAGCCACACUGGGACUGAGACACGGCCCAGACUCCUACGGGAGGCAGCAGUGGGGAAUAUUGGACAAUGGGCGAAAGCCUGAUCCAGCAAUGUCGCGUGAAUGAUGAAGGCCUUAGGGUUGUAAAGUUCUUUCGGUGGGGAAGAUAAUGACGGUACCCACAUAAGAAGCUCCGGCUAACUCCGUGCCAGCCGCCGCAGUAA